GACGAACGCUGGCGGCGUGCUUAACACAUGCAAGUCGAGCGGUAAGGCCCUUUCGGGGGUACACGAGCGGCGAACGGGUGAGUAACACGUGGGUGACCUGCCCUUAGCUCUGGGAUAAGCCUGGGAAACUGGGUCUAAUACCGGAUAUGACUCCAUGACGCAUGUUGUGGGGUGGAAAGCCUUGUGCGGCUAGGGGAUGGGCCCGCGGCCUAUCAGCUUGUUGGUGGGGUGAUGGCCUACCAAGGCGACGACGGGUAGCCGGCCUGAGAGGGCGACCGGCCACACUGGGACUGAGACACGGCCCAGACUCCUACGGGAGGCAGCAGUGGGGAAUCUUGCGCAAUGGGCGAAAGCCUGACGCAGCGACGCCGCGUGAGGGAUGACGGCCU
rnacentral:rRNA from 1 species